GAGGGGAAAAGGUGCUAUUUCACUGAAGAGGCACCCUUUUUCCUAGGUACAAGGCUAUAUUACAUCAACAGAGAAAAUGAUGGAGUCUGAGACUUGGCAGACGUGGUGUUUAGAUGACACUAGCCAGGCAUACUGGUAAUCUAUACUUCCCAGCUUUUUUCAAUAGAGCCUUGUAACUGAGUUCUGGCCAAUGGAAUGUGGGUGGAGGCGAGGCAUGCCUGGCCUGGCUCAUAAAAACCUCCCACAUGAUCCUUCGUCCUCUUUACCUUCCACUGCGACCCUGAUAGCAACAUGUUGAAGAUGGUGGUGCAAUCCAGGUCUCUGGGAUCCAGUUGGAGAAGAGUUGCCUGACCUAUAUUGGACUAUAGCACUAGGAAUAAAUUUUUAUGGUGUUAAA